AUGGAGGGACUGGGGAUUGAACCCAGGACCUUGUGCAUGCUAAGCACGCGCUCCACCACUGAGCUCUCCCCUCCUCCUUGAAGAUCAGUCUUGCUUUGACAUCACCUCUGCUCCACUCUCUCUCCCCGUGGCAGUAACUUGGAGGGGCUCCCCGAUCAUGAAACGCACUCACAAGCACGAACCUGAGAAACAAGACACGCCAGCAGGGCCCACCCACCUUCUCAGAAGCGACCUGAUGCCCUGGCUGUGGAAACUGGGCGCAAGUUUCAGGCAGAUUCCUGGAGGUGCAACAGGACUGGGAGCAGAACUGGGUUUCCAGGGCUGGGACCCCUGAAGUCCUGCCCACGGAGGAGGACCCAGGGCCUGGGAGGGGAGGGGCUGCAUCCCCCAGGCCCAUGGCCCUCUCCUUGCAGACUUUCUGGGGCGGCACCAGGUCCGUGAUCACAGGCCCCGCAGAGGGCACAGUCUGGGAGUGCCAGGGUCCUGGGGAGGCUGCCCGGAGUCACUGGGGAGGGACCGCGUGGGAGUCAUGGGCAUGGUGAAGGCAGGGCUGAUGGAUGAGCCCGUUGGUAGUAAGCAAUGUGCUCCGUCCCCGUCCGUCCCUGAGAGGUCCUUCUGACUGGUGACAAGGGGCUCCUGAGAAGCCCUUUCUCCUCCCUCACAGACGCGCAGCUUGACUCUGAGAUCCGCCGGGUUAACAGCUGGGCCUCCGUGUGAGAACACGAGCCGACCAGUCAGAGGACCAGUCAGAGGACCAGUCAGAGGACGUACAGAGACGGGCCUGAAGGCAGCUCCGCGCUGCAGGGCCGCCCGUCCCUGCCCUCCCCAGGCCGCGGUGACACCCAGAGGGCUCGGAGUCAAGCUGCGCGUCUGCAAGGGAGGAGAAGGCGGAUUUAAUGAGAAAGAACAUGAAAAUGAACACAUGUGUGUGUGCGUGACUGGGACAGUGUGCUGCACGCCAGAAACCGACACGCUGUAACUGACGGUGCUUCAACCAGAACAAAGAGAAAACAAGAAAUGAAAAAAGAAUUUAAAAAUGAGAGAGGAUGAGGGGCUUCUGAAUCCCAAGUUAUUUUAAUACAGGCCAGUCCUUCUCUUCCUUCGACUUGCCUGGAAUCAGCUCCACAGGACAGACAGACGGGGACCCACAGGCCCUGUUAAAACAACCACAAACCUGAAAUCAGAAAAGGUAUCAGGUGCACAGAGACAGACAGACUUCGGGGACCCUCCGAGUUCUAGUCUUUUCUGCCAGCGCAGCCCGGGAAGCGUGGUGAGUUCCCAGCUGUGGUGACACAGGUAUGGCCAGGCUGCCCAACCCGUCCGGACCAGGAGGAAAGUGGGGGGACGGAGGACCAGGACCGGAGGCAGCACAGAGGAAACCAGAGAACCUUUCAGGCCAGAGACCAUGAAGACCAGAGGAGCAAAGGAGGAAGGAAGCGGGGAAAUCUAGCACCACCCUAAAUACUCGGAGCAUCGGGCACCCCUUCCUCCCCCGAGCAAUCACAGCCCGCUGUCUGCUCUCAGGGCUGGGAGCGCUGCCUGGCGGGCAGACCCCACCUCGGUCGCCUUGGCUGCCUCGGCUGCCUCUCCACCGCCUGCCUGGACUCACAGUCUGGGGAGCGUUGAAGCUCCUACUGAGCUCCGGUCCCAAGGAAAACAAAUCACAGUAAACACAGCGUGGGGGACCUGAGGUCGGGCGGGAGGUGGGGCCGUCAGUGAUCCCGCCGUCUCUGGGCACUGAGGGCAUCGUCCGCCUGUACCUGCAGCUGGGCUUCCCCGCGUGGCCUCCCUCCAAACACUUCCCUGACCUCAGCGCUGGGGGGAGCCCUUAGGAGUGAAACUGACUCCAC